AAUCAACGCUGGCGGCGUGCCUAACACAUGCAAGUCGCGCGCGAAAGGGGGGGCAACCCCCGAGUAAAGCGGCGAACGGGUGAGUAACACGUGGGUAAUCUACCUUCGAGUGGGGAACAACAUCGGGAAACUGGUGCUAAUUCCGCAUGACAUCGUCGGGGCUUCGGUUCCGACGCUCAAAGCUGGGGAUCGUAAGACCUAGCGCUUGAAGAUGAGCCCGCGUCCGAUUAGCUAGUUGGCGGGGUAAUAGCCCACCAAGGCUCCGAUCGGUAGCCGGCCUGAGAGGGCGGACGGCCACACUGGAACUGAGACACGGUCCAGACUCCUACGGGAGGCAGCAGUGGGGAAUUUUUCGCAAUGGGGGCAACCCUGACGAAGCAACGCCGCGUGGGGAUGAAGGUCUUCGGAUUGUAAACCCCUGUCGACCGGGACGAAUAGUAGAACGGCCUAAUACGCCGAGCUAUUG
rnacentral:rRNA from 1 species